rnacentral:rRNA from 1 species
UCUUGUACUCACCGCCCGUCACACCAUGGGAGUUGAUUUCACUCGAAGUGGAAA